rnacentral:rRNA from 1 species
GUCUAUGGCCAUGCCACCCUGAACAAGCCCGAUGUCUGAUCUCGGAAGCUAAGUAGGGUCAGGCCUGGUUAGUACUUGGAUGGAAGACCACCUAGGAAGACCAGGUGCUGUAGGCA